UUGUGUGUAUGUGUGACUGUGUGUGUGUGUGUGUGGGUGUAUGUGUGUGUGUAUAACAGGGAGGAAGGGAGAGAGAGACGAUGCGCACAGAAAUUCGAGGAUAU